UACGUAGGUGGCAAGCGUUGUCCGGAUUUAUUGGGUUUAAAGGGUGCGUAGGCGGUCGUAUAAGUCAGUGCUGAAAUAUCCCGGCUUAACCGGGAGGGUGGCAUUGAUACUGCAUGACUUGAGUAAAGUUGAGGUUGGCGGAAUUGACGGUGUAGCGGUGAAAUGCUUAGAUAUCGUCAAGAACACCUAUUGCGAAGGCAGCUAACUAAGCUUUAACUGUCGCUGAGGCACGAAAGUGUGGGGAUCAAACAGG
rnacentral:rRNA from 1 species